UACGUAGGGGGCAAGCGUUGUCCGGAAUCAUUGGGCGUAAAGAGCGUGUAGGCGGCCCGAUAAGUCAGCUGUGAAAGUCCAGGGCUCAACCCUGGAAUGCCGGUGGAUACUGUCGGGCUCGAAUCCGGAAGAGGUGAGUGGAAUUCCUGGUGUAGCGGUGAAAUGCGCAGAUAUCAGGAGGAACACCAAUGGCGAAGGCAGCUCACUGGGACGGUAUUGACGCUGAGACGCGAAAGCGUGGGGAGCAAACAGG
rnacentral:rRNA from 1 species